GACGAACGCUGGCGGCGUGCUUAACACCCGUAAGUCGAACGGUAAGGCUCCAGCUUGCUGGGGUACACGAGUGGCGAACGGGUGAGUAACACGUGGGUGACCUGCCCUGCACUUCGGGAUAAGCCUGGGAAACUGGGUCUAAUACCGGAUAGGACCGCACCGUGAGGGUGUGGUGGAAAGUUUUUUCGGUGUGGGAUGGGCCCGCGGCCUAUCAGCUUGUUGGUGGGGUAAUGGCCUACCAAGGCGGCGACGGGUAGCCGGCCUGAGAGGGUGGACGGCCACAUUGGGACUGAGACACGGCCCAGACUCCUACGGGAGGCAGCAGCGGGGAAUAUUGCACAAUGGGCGGAAGCCUGAUGCAGCGACGCCGCGUGGGGGAUGACGGCCUUCGGGUUGUAAACUCCUUUCACCAUCGACGAAGGGUUUCUGACGGUAGAUGGAGAAGAAGCACCGGCUAACUACGUGCCAGCAGCCGCGGUAAUACGUAGGGUGCGAGCGUUGUCCGGAAUUACUGGGCGUAAAGAGCUCGUAGGUGGUUUGUCGCGUCGUCUGUGAAAUUCCGGGGCUUAACUCCGGGCGUGCAGGCGAUACGGGCAUAACUUGAGUACUGUAGGGGAGACUGGAAUUCCUGGUGUAGCGGUGAAAUGCGCAGAUAUCAGGAGGAACACCGGUGGCGAAGGCGGGUCUCUGGGCAGUAACUGACGCUGAGGAGCGAAAGCAUGGGGAGCGAACAGGAUUAGAUACCCUGGUAGUCCAUGCCGUAAACGGUGGGCGCUAGGUGUGGGUUUCCUUCCACGGGAUCCGUGCCGUAGCUAACGCAUUAAGCGCCCCGCCUGGGGAGUACGGCCGCAAGGCUAAAACUCAAAGGAAUUGACGGGGGCCCGCACAAGCGGCGGAGCAUGUGGAUUAAUUCGAUGCAACGCGAAGAACCUUACCUGGGCUUGACAUAUACAGGAUCGCGCCAGAGAUGGUGUUUCCCUUGUGGCUUGUAUACAGGUGGUGCAUGGUUGUCGUCAGCUCGUGUCGUGAGAUGUUGGGUUAAGUCCCGCAACGAGCGCAACCCUUGUCUUAUGUUGCCAGCACGUUGUGGUGGGGACUCGUAAGAAACUGCCGGGGUUAACUCGGAGGAAGGUGGGGAUGACGUCAAAUCAUCAUGCCCCUUAUGUCCAGGGCUUCACACAUGCUACAAUGGUCGGUACAGUGGGUUGCCAGUCCGUGAGGGCGAGCUAAUCCCGCAAAGCCGGUCUCAGUUCGGAUCGGGGUCUGCAACUCGACCCCGUGAAGUCGGAGUCGCUAGUAAUCGCAGAUCAGCAACGCUGCGGUGAAUACGUUCCCGGGCCU
rnacentral:rRNA from 1 species